AAGUCGUAACAAGGUUUCCGUAGGUGAACCUGCGGAAGGAUCAUUACUAAAUAUCCUAAAUUAUUGGCGUGAAACCCAAUAUAUGCACCUGUGAACUUUAUCGUCUCUGACAGUGCGGCUUCUGAGAAUGUUAAAGUUCCAGAAACCGUGCUGUUGGUUAUACUAUUAUUUUAUUUGUAUUAAUUUAUUUUUCUUGUCGUUUAAUUAUUUUAUUGAAAAUAAAAGUAACAACUUUUGACAACGGAUCUCUUGGUUCUC
rnacentral:misc_RNA from 1 species